AAAAAGCUGAAAUAAAUCGACAAAAGCUAAAGAUGCACCAUACAACCGGCAGUGUGAGCUAUGCAUGUUCAGAAUAUGAUUUGGCUGUGAAACUAGGACGUCCUCCACGAAGAGAUGAAAACUUUAUCCAAACCCAUACAA